rnacentral:lncRNA from 1 species
UUAAAAUUAUAAUUAUCAUAAAUUAAUAACUAGGUUAAAAUUAUUAAUAACUUUGUUCCUGUUAGGUUUCACUUUCUUUUAUUCCUUAUCAGAGAACCUAAAAGAGUAACGUGCCUUUCAGCUGACAGACAGCCUUGAAGAGUAACUGAGCAACCUGAAGACCAUUUAGAGUCUAUAAAUAUUCAGCAGUGCGGGCCAUCAAUCUUCAAGGAUGAUUGAGGAACAAGGGCGAAGUAUUUAUUUUUGAAGUAUGUAAAAAGAUGCUACCUGAAGCUGCAUACUGACUGCACAAGUUUCUUCGUGGCUCCACUUGAGACUCAGGGCUGUUCUUGGAACAGAAAAUCAAGCGGCUAACAUAUUAGACUUUGCCCUGGUUCAGCAAUGACACUCAUGUGAUUCUGACAAAUGACUUGG